rnacentral:rRNA from 1 species
UACAGAGGGUGCGAGCGUUAAUCGGAAUUACUGGGCGUAAAGCGCGCGUAGGCGGCUUUGCAAGUCGGGUGUGAAAUCCCCAGGCUUAACCUGGGAACUGCAUUCGAGACUGCAUUGCUAGAGUAUGGGAGAGGGUAGUGGAAUUCCCGGUGUAGCGGUGAAAUGCGUAGAUAUCGGGAGGAACAUCAGUGGCGAAGGCGGCUACCUGGCCCAAUACUGACACUCAGGUGCGACAGCGUGGAGAGCAAACAGG